CUACGGGACGCAGCAGUGAGGAAUAUUGCACAAUGGGGGAAACCCUGAUGCAGCAACGCCGCGUGGAGGAUGACGCAUUUCGGUGUGUAAACUCCUUUUAUAUGUCAAGAAAAUGACGGUAGCAUAUGGAUAAGCACCGGCUAACUCCGUGCCAGCAGCCGCGGUAAUACGGAGGGUGCAAGCGUUACUCGGAAUCACUGGGCGUAAAGGACGCGUAGGCUGUUUGGCAAGUCAGAUGUGAAAUCCUAUGGCUCAACCAUAGAACUGCAUUUGAAACUGCCAGACUAGAGUAUGGGAGGGGGAGAUGGAAUUAGUGGUGUAGGGGUAAAAUCCGUAGAUAUCACUAGGAAUACCUAAAGCGAAGGCGAUCUCCUGGAACAUUACUGACGCUAAGGCGUGAAAGCGUGGGGAGCAAACAGGAUUAGAUACCCGUGUAGUC
rnacentral:rRNA from 1 species